GUUAUGUGAUUGGUUAACUGUAUCACUUGAUCUCCUUAUCAUGCCUUCAUCUGGUCAGAUAAUCGAAAUCUUAUCGGCACCUCCUUAGGUAAUCGAUUUGCUUAUUUUGUAACAACGAAUACAAAUGUGUAACCAUCAUUAGGUUUUGAUUAUACCUACCAUUCCUCUUGGUAACUUCAAAAAUUAAACGCACCACCCAAAAACUGCUGCCUUGUCAAAAGUGAGAGGUGAAAGUGCCACGUAUACUUUUUUGAAUUGGCUCGUCACACAGAAAGCAGCUACGUCUUAUGCAAAUGUUGUUUGUACGAUUAGUCCAGAAAUGUGCAAAUUUUUUUCUACUGUCGGCGGAUGUCUUCUCCAGUUUUUAUUUUGUCGUGGCAUAUGGAUCACACUCAAACGGAAUAAUUGAUGGAUUGUAUAGUAAGCCGACGAAUUCAACAGACAGAAUAACGAAUCGCACAGAUGUGGAAACCGUCACACUUUGCUUGAGAAAUAGGAAACCACGAUGGUGAUCAACUCUACUCCGAGCAAGCGAAUGAAGCUGGCUGAGAGAUACAUUUAAAAUGGUGGUAACUUUAAGUAUUACCAAUGGCAUUACCAUGGGCAUUGUUGGCGAGGUUAUGCUCAAAGCACUUUUCCAAGCGCAAUAAGCGUUUCAGAAAAUGUCCAAUCAUGACAAAGAUUCCCAAGGGUCCGACUGAGCCCUGAGCAACGUAACGACCAAUGUGAUGAACAAACACGCUGACAGCAUCUCUACACUUCCAACUCAAGCUUCUAAUCACCGAGAAAAGGCAAUCUAACCAUAAAUUAGGCUCAGAAAAUAUUUGUACUGAGUUUAACAGAGAGUAGCCAAAUCAUGUUUUUUUAUUUUUAAUAAUUUAUUAUUUAUUUAUUUAUUUAUUAUUGAGUUAAAUGUGUGCUUUUGGACACGAGUUGUGAUCCCCUUCAAAAAAACAAAGCCAACGAAAUAUCCCUAGUAAAAAUGAAUCGGUCUGACGUCAGGCUAUGUUCCAUAAACUACACUGACUCAGACUGAUGUCAGACUGAAUCAGUCAGACUCAGGGUAAGUAGUUUAUGAAAAAUACAUAGCCUGAUGUCAGGCUGACUCACUUUUACCAGGGAUUAGAAUCUUCAUCGAGGACUUUGAUUUCAUUUUUUGCCCUGGGUCUUAGAGGCAAGAAAUAAUUUUUAACCCUUUCUCUCAAUGUUUAAACCUCAAGUUAAUUAGUUCCUAUCUUCUUGACCAACAAUGAGUGUCCGUAAAGUCCAUUUUGACGCGACUAGAUUACUCAAAAUCCGUGCUAGUUCUGAACUAAAAGGGAAAAAAUUCAAUUUAACAAGAAAAAUUUAGUAGUAAAUCUGCUGUCUUUUGGUAUUUAUAAUGGGAAUUUUAAAUCAACGUAAAAUUUUAGAGGGGUUCAAAACUUGCAAUAUCUGUCCAUAUUCACUCAACACAUGCUACACGAUGGUGAAUGUGCAAAAAUACGUAUCUUGUUGACGGUGUUUUAAAAUAUCCACUCCCAAUUCAUUUUAUCAGAGAACAUCGAACCAAAACUGUUGCUAGAAUUUUCACAUAAAAUUCUUCACGCAGAGAAAAAUGAACACAGUAAAAUUUUCAAGAAAUGACAUUGAGUAUUUUUCCACGUGAUAAAUUACUUAUGUCAAAAAGUAUGCAGCGUUGCAGAUCUGGAUACGUAUUUUUUAAUAGUUUCACCAUUGAACAUUUCUUACAGCUUCUCGUGACACGAUCUGCAACGCUGCAGACUUUUUGACACAAGUAAUUUUUUAUGUGGAAAAAUACUCAACGUCAUUCCCUGAAAAUUUUUAACGUUUUAGGAUUUCUUGGCCGCGAAAAAAAUAUAUCUAUUUUUAAUCUUCGCAUGGUAUUGCCAACUUCGACUUUAAGAGGUUUUUCUUGUUGCACUGCUUAAUGCACACAUACCUAUAUUUUCUUGUAUUAAUUCAUGAUUUCACUUUUGCCCUUUUUUUGUGUUUUCUAUUGGCUUUUUGUCCGAUCUUCGUCUCUUAUAUUAUUUAUUUUAUUAUUCAUUAAUGUUGGAUACACCUUAAAAUAUGUAUGGCAAACAAUACAUUUGAAAUAAACAGUCAAGUCUCAUUUGUUCUUAUUAUUUACAGUUACUUUAAUAUUUUAAUACAAGCUCAGAAUGUUUUGUACUGUCGACCUGUGUUCUGUUCUUAUGAUCAAACUUUUGCUCUCAAAACAGAAACACUCUGCCAAAGAUAGAGAAGAUUUAUUCGGGUCUCAAUUUUUCACUGUUCUCCCGAAUCUGAACGACUUUUCACUGAAAGAAUGCAGCUGACCAUUGCGAGUUAACGCCUCGCGCCCGCGCGCCUUCAAUUCUGCAGAUGCAACGAGCACAUCCAUCAAGUACGAAUAGUUGUAUCCCUGCGCCGUCAUCAACGCGCAUCCUUUCCCUUGCUCUCAAGCGGGCCAUGCAUAUGGCGCGCUUUAUUGCGAUUGCCGAGAGACCAGCUCUGCCGUGGUGGUAGCGAAGAGAGCCGUAAGUUCAAAAAUGAAGUUUUGAGAAAAUGGCCUCCAUAUAGCUUCGGAGCGGAUAAUUUUAUUUUAAGAAGCCUCCGUUCUUUUUCAAAUUGCCACCAUCAUUUAAAGACUCUUUAAAAUCGUUUAGAUGGUUAUAAAUCGACCUAUUUUAUUUCAAUUAUAUAAAAAGAAUAUUAUUGAUUUUCAUCUCAGGCCAGCAAGAGAGCCGUAAGUGCAGUCCUCUGCAUGCAUUUGUGGUUGCGCUUUGGACACACAGCAAACACAUUUUCAGGUUAGAAAUUGGCAAGGAAGAGGGGCAUUUCACUUAAAAGCUCUGUUUCCACUAGCUCUCUGAAGGAAUAAUGCUAGUCACGGCUGUCUUGUCUAAAACUGAGCUUCUAGGAUCUUUUUUGGAUUUUAUCAAACUUCAAAUAACAAAGAAACCCCGUUUUGUAGACGCUAAAAUCGGACCAGUUUGAAACGAUAUUUUUGACGGGUUACAAGGACGUAUUCAGGCGGGCGAUGAUGACGGUUCGCUGAUUGACUAAGAAACCAGCUUCAGACUUCGCUUUUCCACGUCACCAGACUAUCGGCUUUUGAUUGAUCGGAUUUUGAAUAGCUUUUUCUCCUCUUAGAAGUACUUUUUCUAACUUUUUAAUGAACUUUUUCGAUUUCUCACGAAAUUUUUCAUGAGUCAGCCGACACUGUAACUCUGUAAAACAUUCGUGUCACUGCUCAAUUAUUGUAGUAUUUAUUUAGGAGGUGGGGGUAUAAGAGGGUGGAGGGGAAGCGGGGUUUGUCUCGAAAUUUGAUCGGAACAGGAGGGCCCUAAAAGAAAGUCUGGGAGAUGAUUUUCCCUUAAGCUUCUUCAGUUGGUUUGAAGUAGAACUUACAAUGUUAUUUAAGGCUAUCCUGAUGGGGCGAUAAUAGACAGCGGGUCAUUUAUUUAAUGAGACAACAUUUCGAUAAGAGCUUGUUAUACAGCCACAGCAACAUUAAACCAAUUCUGCUGGAUAGCUCUUUGAGAAUCGAAAUUUUAAAGAUCAGUAUAUAUAGUGAUGUAAUCUAAAUAUGGAGGUCCCAUUCAAAUCGAAGAAGCUCUGUGUUGUUCUUUUCGUAACUUUCCGGCCUCCGGCGAAGCGCGUUUUGAAUAUAUCCUGAUGUAUCUCUAGUUUAGAAGCGAUAGGUAUUUGAGUCGGAAAAUUGAAAGCCCGUUGGUUCGCGAGAAAAUAAUCUGACGACUUUACCGUUUCCUCAAGCUUUAGGCGUGUGCUUGCUUUGUAAAUUAAGAACUGAAUGUACCCACCCUUAAUUUAAUUUCGAUUACAUUAUAUUUACGAUUGGACGAUUUGGAAACAAGUAAAAAUUGUUAAAACAAUGCCUUAACAAAAGUGAACAUUAAAAUGUACCUAAUUUUGCAUACUUUUUGAUUCGUUCAU
rnacentral:lncRNA from 1 species